CUUUGAAUUUCCUCUCUGCUGGGAAUCAAUUUUUGAUGAGAUUUGUUCAGAAUGUUGAUGCCUCUGUUGUGAAAAGCAGAACAAAACCUGCACAGACAAAGCAGCAGAAGAGGGACAGCGAGCGCUUGGAGGAUGCAUCUAUGGAAAACCUGUGCAAACUAGCUGAGGAAUGUGUCUGCCUAGAAGCCUCUGUGACUGCUUGUGCCGUGAGACCCAGACUCUUCUAAGAGACCCUUAGAUUGGCUUUAUGACUUUUCCAGCUUAAAAGUCUGCAGCUUUCUCAGUAUCAGUUUUUAGUGUGUUUUAGUUUAUUUUUAAAACGUCUUCUUAUAAAACAGUAAGUAUCUAUUUAGAAAUUAGAAGAGAAAGGAGGAAAUAAAAAUGAAACAUUAUACUUCCAUCACGCUGCUGUUAACCCCUCCGAGUGUGUACUCCGGGCCUAUUUCUUCUUCUUUCUUUCUCUGUAUUUCCCAAUAGCGUUCUCUCUCUUUCUCUCUUUUACUAAAUUGAGGUUAUAGUAUAAUAAAGCUUAUUUUAACAUAGUAAUUGGUAUAGUAUGUUAUAUGUAUUAUGUAAUUACAUGAAAUUACUAUAUUUGAUAAUUCUUGUAAUACAUAAUUACAUUAUCAUAAUAUGAGGUAUAAUAUAUAAUAAGAUAAUGACAUGUGUAAUAUAAUAAUGUUUAUUAUAUACAUAAUGUUUUCUCAGUUAACUGUCUCCAUCUUUCCAUGAAAUUACAUUUUUCUCUUAUCCCAAGCACCAUCCAUCUCAAACUUUCCCAGUUGUCCCAACAUUUUCGUUACAAUGAGUGUGUCCUGAGAGGGCCCCAUCCAGAACCAUGAACGGCAUCUGGCCCUUCUCUCUUUAAAGACCCAUUAGUCUGACGCAGUCCUCAUUUCUUUUCAAACUGGAAUUCACUUCUGAAGUUCUGUUUGGGAUACAUGAUAAACGCCCACGGUUAUUGGGGGUGCAGCGAAGGUGACGGGAGCUUCCUAGGGCAUCAGACCAGGAGGCACGUAAUGGCUGGAGCUAAGAAUGCCUUGAGCUAGAUUAAGGUGAGGCCUGUCUGAUGUGUCCCUUGUGCAACUGGGCUUUGUCGAAGUAUAAUUUUCCAAAAGUGAAGGCACGACUCUCUCCAACACAAAGGGAGAGUGUGGCAGGGGGUUUUAUCCCACUCGCUGGCGAGGCAACAAGGACACGCUCACCUUGGCUCAGAGGAUUCAAGGAAAGAGACGUCAUUAAAGUCACUGGAAGAAAUAGGUUACAGGGAGAUGCUGAUUCGCUACAAGACAGGUCAGGGGCUUACGGGACAAUGAAACCGACAGCAUCAUUGGGUCUUUCUACCAGACAGCCAUCGUCAGCAUCUCUUCCAGGUAAGAUUCAUUUACACCGAAUCCAUUUUCCGCAGCUUAGCAUCUGCCCCGCAGAGCCGUGAGACACCUGAUCAAUAGCGAAUCGUGAGUUGGCGCGGACACACACCCCUGGGAAUUAGAUCGCCCGCGGAGGGCGUGGACGCGAGGCUCGGCCUGGCGGAGCUGGGCUGCCACCAAGUUCGGGUUUUUGUCCUUGACGUCCCUCCUCAGCCCCUGUUGGGCCAGAGGGUAGCUUGUGUGCUGUGACCUUGGCACUCGCCAGAUUGCUGCUUCCCUAGGUGAUAAACGUACUGGUUUUAUCAACACUGGAUGAUCUUUGCCUGAACCCACCGUUUCAGCAGCAUCUCGAGAAGCCGUCUCCUGGUCCCGUGUUCCCUUUCACAGCAUCAGCCCACGCGCCUCAUCAAGUGUGGUUGUUUGUGACCGGAUCAAAUAGAAGAAUCGGAGCCCAGUGCCAGGAAGAACGGGCCAUUAGUCAUGAUUUAUCAGGGGAGAGCUCCCCCAUCAGAGCCCAUGGAAAGAGGGUUCCUCUGCCUAAAAAGGGGAUUUGCUUAGUGUUCCCUUUGACCGGAGUGGGGGGACCCUUGGAAGCGUCCAUCUUUAUCUUGGGGUUUCGGUUUGCAUUCCCAGUGCCCCGGAGACCUUAGGAUCCAGGUGCUGGCUGGUGACACCAACCCUCUCUCAGGGCUGCCUAAGCUGCGCCGCCCGCACUGGUCUCUGUGUCCUUUGUCCUGACCUCUGCACACGCUUAAAAGGAUGUGACACGUUUUAUUCAAAAUGUCUUGGUGUAAAUAAGGAGUAUGUUCAGCAUAUUUUACCCACAACAUGGUUGGAAAUGAACGGUACUGCGCAGAUUUUUCAGAUACCUUUCUGUCUAAAGUUUAACGGGUAAAGGGCCUUUCCAGUAAAUAGCUUUGUGGCCGAAUGACCUACAUUCUCUCAUCCUCCCGGAAAGUUGAAGGCCUGUCACACAAUAUUGUCAUGGGGGGCAUUCUAUAAUUGUCAUUAUGUAGAGGUGCAGGAGAGACUAUGUGGUCGCCCUCUGACUACAGCAAGAGUUUACUGAGUUUUCCCUCUUCGGUAGGUACCACGUUGAAACUUACAUCCGUUAUCUUCCAUGCCCCCCCAACCCUGAUAAGGUAGGUGUUGCUAUUCUCACUGGGUAAAAGGAGAACACGAGGCAGACAAGUUAAUGAGCUUUCCCGGGACUGCUCAUAUAUUCUAAACGCCAGAGCUGGGCUGCUAGCCGGGUCUGGGGCUAAGACUCACAUCUAAGUAUGACUGUCCUUGGGCUUUGAGCCACGUUGUACUGAACACACAUAUAACACUUGCUACACAACAGGCUCUCUGCUUUCUCUAUGGGAGCCGCACAAAGCCCCUGGGAUGGAUGGACGGCUCCUGUUCCGCAGAUGAGGAAGCUGAGCUCAGAGGGUUCCCUCGCUGACCCGUGGCCAGGUAGCUAACAGACCGCUCUUCCACCAUCCAGUGUGCCAAGACGCCUUUUGACUGAAAAGUGGACCCACGGGACGUGCAGGCAAGACUGCUCUGGGCUCUCACUUGGGUGCUGCGGCACCACCUUCCUACCCGAGACUCAGAAUCCAGGUGCAGGAAAGAAUCCCGGGAAACGAGGUCAACCAGAUGUGGAGCUGCUGGCCGGUCUGCGAAGCGAGUUGGGUCUGUCCCGGUCAGGAGGGGUUCAUGACACAAAACCUUGUCGGUGUGCAGAGGGAAAGGGGGACGAAUCCACGCUCCGAGAGACACUUCCCUCCCCACACCGCGCAGCCCAGCCUGUGGGGGCAGCACCUUCCUGCUUAUCUGAAAGCGGCAGGCUUGACCUUUCUUCGGGGAAUUUAUACAACGCCGACUCAUCCAGGAGACCCCAAACUGCGAAGACAUUUAGAACCUGUCUCUCUCUCCCCAGGAGCCUGAUGCGGAGCUUUGGCUUCAGAAGAGCUGGUGUGUACAAAGGAGAUGCUUCUUCUGCCUCUUAAAGGUCCCUCUGUGUGUUUACCUCUUUGACUCAGUGGAGCCUUUCUGUAGACAAGGCAUCUGGAGGAAGGAUGGGAGAAGCAGAAGGAAGCCUUGCAGGAGAGAGCGAAGGACCCAGGCGUGUGGUCUGCAAUCCCCGAGAUGGUUGACAGGUGCAAGCACCAGGCUCCUCCUGCAGCUGCAUUUCCAGGCUGACCAGCAGGAGAAAAAGGACUUUCACCUUGAAAACCCCAGGUGGAUCUAUUCUGUAACAGAACGUCUAGCAACUCGGUGCAAGUGGUUAAAGACUGCUUCUUUCCAGCGUUCAUUCUAAGGGGCUGCACCUCGGGUGCUCGGGCCGUUUCCCUUUUGUUGGUAGGAGCCAUGGACCAAGUUCAGGUGUUAAUCCUCUUGAGAAAAAUGAUUUUGUUUGGGAAGGUAAAGUAAGAAGCACGCACCGUGCAUGAAUCUGAGCAGUCAGGGCGCUCGCGUGGCCGUCGCAGCGUCAGUCAAUACGAAGUGUUUGCUGAGUAUCAUCAGCAAGACAGGAAAAGGCAGAUUCCUAAAAGAUCUUGAAGACUAGUUUUUAGAGCAGUUUAAGGCUUACAGCAAAGUUGGUAGGCAAGUUCAGUGAUUUCCUUUAACGGCCCCCACCCCUCGCCCCCCCAGAAGGCACAGCCUCCCCCCUCAUCUAUGUUCCCAGCAGAGGGUACAUUUGUGACAUUCACUGAAGCGGUGUUGACUGGAUCAUAGUCCCCGAAGCCCACAGCUUACCUUGGGGUCCUCUCUUGGUGUCGCGCCUUCUACGGGUUUGGGCGAGUGUAUGAUGAUAUUUAUCCAUCAUCACGUUAUCAUACAGAAUAUCUCCACCGCUCUAAAAAUCCUCCAUACUCUGCCCGUUCAUCUCUCUCGUCUGACCCAGGCAACCCCUGAUCUCCACUGUUCUGCCGUUUCUAGAAUGUCGUGUAGUUGGAAUCAGACUCUAUGCAGACUUUUCAGACUGGCUUCUUUCACUUGGUUGCAUGGAUUUAAGGUUCCUUUGUGUCUUUUCAUGGCUUGAUAGCUUCUUUCUGUUUAGUGCUGAAUGAUGUUCCAUUCGCUGGCUGUGUCUGUGUAUUUAACCAUUCCCCUACCAAAGGAUACCUUGAUUGCCCCGGGUUUCUGCAAUGGUAAAGAAAACUCCUACAAACAUCCAUGGACAAGUUCCUGUGUGGACAUAAGCUUUCCGGUUUUUUGAGUGAAUAUCAAGAAGUAUGAUUGCAAGAUCAUAAGAUAAGAGUAUGUUAACUUCAUAAGAAACAACCAAACUGUCUUUCUUAGUGGCUGCGCCACUUUGAAUUCCCAGCACCGUGAACGAGAGUUCCUGUUGCUCCACAGCCUGACCAGUGCUUGGUGGUGUCAGUGAACCAGAUUUUGGCCAUUCUGACAGGUGUGAGUGGUGUCUCCCUGUCGUGUUAAGCGUCAUGUCUCUGACGACACAGGAUGUGGAAGUCUGUUCCUACGCUCAUUUACCAUCUGUGUCUCUUCUCUGGCGAGAUGUUUGCGUAGCUAUUUGGCCCAUUUUCUCAUCAGGUUCUUUUCUUAUUUUGAGUUUUAAGAGUUCUUUCUCUAGUUUGAAUAUCAGUCCUUUAUCAAACGUGUCUUAUGCAAAUAUUUUCCCCCAGUUUGUGCCUUGUCUUCUCAUUCUCCUUCACAGAGCAGAGCCAUUUAAAAUUCCUACAUCUUGGUAAAAUGCUGCUUAUCAGUUAUUAAUUUUAUGGAUCGUGCCUUUGGUGUUAUAUCUAAAAAUCAUUGCCAUGUCCUAGGAGAAAACAUAGUUUUCUCCCAAGUUAUCUUCUGGGAGUUUUAUGGUUUGUGUGUGUGUGCGUUUGACAUUCAGGCCGACGAGUCAUUUUGAGGUAAAAUAUUCUGUUGUUCUUUUGGCCACUCCUGUAGCUUUUGUGGAAAUUCCUGCACCCGGGGUAGAACCUGCACCACAGCAGGGGCCCAAACUGAUGCAAUGACAACGCCAGAUCCUUGACCUGUGGCCCUGCAGGAGAAGGCCAAUUUUCCAUUAAUUUUUGUCAAAUGUAUAAGGUCUGCAUGGAGAAUUUUUUUUUUUUCUGUGUGGACGUCCAGCCGUUCCAGCACCAUUUGUUGAAAAACUAACUUUGCCCAUUGUAUUGUCUUUGCUCCCACUACCAGUUGGCUCUAUUUGUGUGUGUCUAUUUCAGGAUUCUAUUCUGUUCUAUGAACGUGUUUUCCUGUCUUUUUACGAAUAUCACCCCAUCCCGAUCACUACAGUUCUGUCGGAAGGCUUAAGACCCAGUAGAGUCAGUCAUCCUGCUUUGUUUUUCUCCUUCCAUAUUGUGCUGCUUUUCUGGACUUUUUGACUCUCCAUAUACAUUUUAUUUUAUUAAAAAAAUUUUUUUUGUCUUUUUAGGGCCACACCUGUGGCACAUGGAGGUUCCCAUGCUAGGGGUCCAGUUGGAGCUGAAGCUGCUGGCCUGCACCACAGCCACAGCAACACGGGAUCUGAGCCACAUCUGAGACCGACACCCCAGCUCAUGGCAACGCUGGUCCUUCGCCCACUGAGCGAGGCCAGGGAUCGACCCCACAUCCUCAUGGAUGCUAGCCAGGUUCACUAACCGCUGAGCCAUGAGGGGAACUCCUCCAUGUACGUUUUAGAAUCCAUUUGUGGUAUCCACAAAGAGCUGCCUAGGAUUUUGAGUGGGAUGCCUUAAAUCUACAGAUCAAAUUCGGAAGAGCUGGCCUCUUAACCACUGCCUUCCUCUCCACGAGCUUGGAACCUCUCUCCACUCAAUUAGUUCUUCUUUGAUUUCUUUCAUCAGUUUUGUAGCUUUCCUCACAUAGAUUUUGUUCCCGUUUUGUUAGGUUUAUUAUAAGCAUUUCCUUUUUCGGGGGCUCAUGUACAUGAUACUGUGUUUUAAAUGUCAAUUUCCAGUUAUUCAUUGCUAGUAUAUGAACUAGGAAUGUGACUUUUGUAUUUUAAGCUUAUAUCCUGCAGUCUUGCUAUAAUUGCUUAUUAGUCCCCAGAGUUUUCUGAUUCUUCGGAUUUUCUGUUUAGAUGACGUGCCAUUUGCGCACAAACACAGCCUUAGUCCUUCCUUCCCAACCUGCAUACCUUUUAUUUCCUUUUCUUGCCCAACUGCAUUAGCAAAGACGUUCCAUACAAGGUUGAGAAGGUGGUACAGCUGGUUUUUCCGCUCAGCAGUGGAUAUUUGUUGUUUCUGGGUUUUGCCUGCUCUGAGGAGAGCUGCUUUGUUCAGAUCAUACAGCACAUGUGUGGACAUAUGUGCUCUCUUCUCAUGGGGAAGCGCCCAGGCGUGGGAUGCUGCAUUGCAGGUCAAAGAGAUGCCGGACGGUCCGAGGCACAGCCGAGCUCCUGUCCAAGGCGGGUUUCUGAUGGGCAGCGUGUCGGUGGCUUUUGACGCUCAUCUGAUAGUCUCUGCCUUCCAGUCAGAGUAUUUAGACCAUUUAAGUUUUGCUGACUCUGGACGGAGAGGGUUGAAACCUACCCUCUUCCUAAAGCUUUUUGCUUUUGUCCUGUUUGUCCUUUGUUACUUCCCCCUUUUUUGCCUUCUCUUGGGGCCUCUUCUACAAUUCCAUUUUACUGCACCUGUCAGCUGACCAGUGACCCUUCGGGGGCUUUUCAGUGACGGGGCAGCACCGUGACUCUCACGUUCGCCCCUCGCUCAGACACAGAAGAAUUCAGAGACACGGGUCUCUGCAGGGCUUCCUGCCCACUAGGAGUUUGCAGCAUUUGCCUCAUGUGGGAGAGAGGUCCAGGGACUGCCCAGUUUCUCCUCUGCAGCCCUCGGGGCGGCGGCGUGGUGGGGGGCAUUUCUGUCCCUCUUCUGGGCACCUGGCAGCUGGCACAGGCCCUCCCUGUAGCCAAGCCAGCUCCCCAGCUUGUUUUGCCCUUAGGAAUCCAUCAAACCCUCAGCCACAUUCCUUUUAUCUGAGGUCCGGGCCACCGUGCUUUGGUCAGAAUCAUCUGAGGUUUUGUUUGCUUCAUUUUGUUUGGUGCAAGAGGCAAGGAGCAGAUGGUAUACUGUUAACAGAUGGAGAGGAAACCAGAAAGCCUCCAGUCUCUUCUCUGCUUCCUUUAUGUAAAAACGGAGUUCCUGCAGAAAGGACACGCAGGCUUGCUGGGAGUGAGAUCCCAACAGAGAAGAACGCGACACCUGCUCUCCAAGGGCGUGUGGGCAGUCCGACCCAGAUAACCUGAAAGACCUUGGGAACGCGUGUGAAGUGCUUGGAGGGAACCUCUCUGGAAUCUUGAAGAACGAGACAGACACCAGGACAGAAGAGGUGGCAGACGCGCCAGCUCUUGGGGCGGGGAGGAGGAGACUACGGAUGCGCAAGCUCACUGUCCACAGGUGGGUAGUUUUGGUCUAGAGGUCAACUGCGUCCCGAGAAAUGCUCGGGGAAGAAAGGAACAAGCAUUGGCUCAUUGAAAGGAAAAAGCCAAGGUCGCCUCCUCCUGCGUAUGAAGUCUUAGGAGGUGGGGGAAGCCGCCUGGGUCUGCUUCCAUCGGGGCGGGGGGAGGAAAAAGGCAACAGCACACGUGCGUGAAUUCAGAGCUGGACCCAGGGAAUUUUAAUGCUGUGUCCCUGCAUCUAUUCUGCUCAAAACUGAUUCUCUCUCAUCCCAGUGACGGUGGGAUCACUGUGACUGAGCAGCCUCGUGUCUAAAAUAAUAAAAUAUCCGCCCCAAUGAGGAAGGGUAAGGGCGUGGCGGGGCACAGUCUUUGUCUUCCUUGCGUGUUGCUGGUGCGGCCGGUGGGGAGGCCGUCGAGCCGAGGUCCGCCCGUCGCCGUUGGCCCUCGCGCCCUUCACUUUGUCCCAGAGCCACCGUGUCUGCGGAGAUGCUCGCCGCUGUGGGCGAGGGUGGUGCCAGACGCAGGGAAAGGCCAGGGGACACGCACAACGAGACAUCUGAACUUGGCAAAGUACGAAAGCUCCCCGCUUGCGAACUCUCUGGACCCCAGACUAGAGAACGCGAUGUCCCGAGCUGAGUCUCUGUGCCUAGAAUUGGGGGGCAGGGGGCGCACGGGCCUCGAAGGGCUACCGAGCUCCCGGCAGUCCCGCCUCAGCCUGGGGCGCCCGCAACAGCGCCUCGGUCCCCCUGAGGCCGAGCAGAGGCUUCUUCACGCUCCUCCUGGUGAGUGAUGGGCGCAGAGUUCACGUGAGCCCACGAGCACCUUGAACGCCAGGUAAGCCUUUCCGUUUCCCCAGGUCCUUGGAGGAUCCGUUCAGCACUCCAGGUGAUGGUGCGCCAGAAAGAGCAGCCUGGACGUUCCAAACCCUUCGAAGCAUCGCAGCGCCGUCAAGGCACCAACAGGUAAACCUCAGGCCGGAGAAGCCACAGGGGUUUCCAGCCACAGCGGCCAAGCUGAGCUCAAGCGUUUCAAGCAACCCCUUCAAGAAAGAGCCGACUUGGGGGUCCCCAUGCCGCUCACUCAGAGAACCAGGUAGGGGAUCCGGGUCCCUGCUCUUGGGAAGAAUUUUGAUCAAGUUCAUCAACCCCUGAAAGAGUUGAGAAAUAUUUUACCACAUUGGAAAAACGACUGAGGCCAGCAGAGGCAAAGAGGUGGGCCGGUCGGCUCCCACAGGCCUGUGGUCCGAGCCUGGGCCUCUUCCUGCCCAGGGCAGCACGACAGGAUCCGUUCCCUGUUCCUGCUCCUUCUCUUCAGCCCCUCCCGUCAAUUCCUUCUCCCAGCUGCGUGGGCAUUUGAUACCAGGUCCCCGAAGGGUGAGCCCUUGCUCAGAGACCUCUCCACUGUCCGCACCCCCAGACGAGGGCACGAUUUCAGAACACCUGCUCUCCUUGCCGUCACUUCUCCACGUGACUCCCAGCCCACGAGCCACCUCUGCAAAGGACCGAGGCCAGCAAACCUCUUCCUGAUGUACAGCCAGUGGGACUCAGCUGCGUCCUGGACCGAUUCACUUCUCACAAAAUUAUCCUGACAGCCUCGCUUGCUGACCUCGGGGAACCCAGACUGAACCCGUUGCCUUGCCUUUGGGACCAGGACGGGCGUUGUUUAAAGAUGGGCCCUGUAUGUCGCUCCAGAUCAGAAUGUUUUCCUUUUAUAGCAUUUUAACAGCUUUUCCCAGAAAACAUCAGCCUUACACUGUGUCACGCUGUAUUUAAUUGCACAAUAUGCUCGGCUCUUUAAAAGAAUGUUGGAAAGAUUAAGUUUUAAAAUGAUAAGCCUGGGAAAAUGA